rnacentral:rRNA from 1 species
CCUACGGGAGGCAGCAGUAGGGAAUCUUCCACAAUGGACGCAAGUCUGAUGGAGCAACGCCGCGUGAGUGAAGAAGGUUUUCGGAUCGUAAAACUCUGUUGUUAAAGAAGAACAACAGGGGUAGUAACUGAUAUCUGUUUGACGGUAAUCAACCAGAAAGUCACGGCUAACUACGUGCCAGCAGCCGCGGUAAUACGUAGGUGGCAAGCGUUGUCCGGAUUUAUUGGGCGUAAAGCGAGCGCAGGCGGGAGAACAAGUCAGCUGUGAAAGCCCUCGGCUUAACUGAGGAAGGGCAAUGGAAACUAUUUUUCUUGAGUGCAGAAGAGGAGAGUGGAACUCCAUGUGUAGCGGUGAAAUGCGUAGAUAUAUGGAAGAACACCAGUGGCGAAGGCGGCUUUCUGGUCUGUAACUGACGCUGAGGUUCGAAAGCAUGGGUAGCGAACAGGAUUAGAUACCCUGGUAGUCCAUGCCGUAAACGAUGAAUGCUAAGUGUUGGGGGGUUUCCGCCUUUCAGUGCCGCAGCUAACGCAUUAAACACUCCGCCUGGAGACCCCACGGCCCCAUAAAAUA